rnacentral:rRNA from 1 species
GACGAACGCUGGCGGCGUGCCUAACACAUGCAAGUCGAGCGGGGACUUAUGGAAUGAAGCUUCGGCAGAAUGAAGUAAGUUCUAGCGGCGGACGGGUGAGUAACGCGUGAGCAACCUGCCUAUCACAGGGGAAUAACGCAUCGAAAGGUGUGCUAAUACCGCAUAAUGUCAUUUGGGGGCAUCCCUGGAUGACCAAAGAUUUAUUGCUGAAAGAUGGUCUCGCGUCUGAUUAGCUAGUUGGCGGGGUAGCGGCCCACCAAGGCGACGAUCAGUAGCCGGACUGAGAGGUUGGCCGGCCACAUUGGGACUGAGACACGGCCCAG